UGGUGGAGCGAUUUGUCUGGUUAAUUCCGAUAACGAACGAGACUCUGGCCUAUUAAAUAGUUCGCCGAUUCCGUAUCUGUCGGCGUUAACUUCUUAGAGGGACAAGUGGCUUUUAGCCACGCGAGAUUGAGCAAUAACA
rnacentral:rRNA from 1 species